rnacentral:tRNA from 1 species
GUCCGCAUAGUGUAGUGGUUUCAUCACAUUUGUCUUACACAGUGCGACAUCUCGCACGGUACACAAAAGGUCCCAGGUUCGAUCCCUGGUGCGGACA